GUCCCUUCGGGGACAUUCGAUAAUAGUGAAAUGAUACAAUGAAGAUUAGCAUGAAUCCUGCGCAAUAACGACUCGAACAAAUUAAAAAAUGGUUUAGUGUUC